CGGGUGAGUAACACAUGGAUAACCUACCUAUAAGACUGGGAUAACUUCGGGAAACCGGAGCUAAUACCGGAUAAUAUAUUGAACCGCAUGGUUCAAUAGUGAAAGACGGUUUUGCUGUCACUUAUAGAUGGAUCCGCGCCGCAUUAGCUAGUUGGUAAGGUAACGGCUUACCAAGGCAACGAUGCGUAGCCGACCUGAGAGGGUGAUCGGCCACACUGGAACUGAGACACGGUCCAGACUCCUACGGGAGGCAGCAGCC
rnacentral:rRNA from 1 species